AUCUCUUUCUACUUAGUAAUUGUUUUUGCUGGCUUUAAUGUCACAGCUCCAGUGUUCCUUCAGACAUUGUGCCCUGCAACAGCACUUGCAGCUCCUGUGCUGGGCAGGCAGCAGUUCUGCUGUGGGAAAUGGACUUGUAGAAAAUUGUCAGAGUUUGACAGAAGGUUUACAUAGUAUGUAUCUGAAUGGAAAAUUUGAGAUAAGAAAUGCUGACUUAGAAAUGCCAUGGAAUAGGACAGACAUUGUUGAGAGAGAAAUGGAACUGGAAACAAGUGUUAAAGGAUGAGUUUGUAAAUAAGACUAGAUACUUUAGAGAAAUAGAGCUAUGAAAGAUGCAUUGUAAUAAGAUUCAUGAGGGGUUGUUUUAGAUGAUUGGUUUUAAGGCAUUUACAGAAUAAUGUAGCAAAAGCUAAUGGACCAAGAAACACUUAUAAUGUGAUUAGGAAAUAGUUGGCUUCUGAUUGUGAUGGUGUGAAUUAGAACACCUGUAUUGUCUCACCCUUCAUGUGAGACUGAAAAUAGAAUAAAAGUUUUUAAAAACACUUCUCAGUUGCCCCAUCUCUGGGUCAGAAAAGGGCAUAAUCUGAUAAAUUGGUGCGUUGUGUGAGGAAGAUUUAUCUCUCUCAAUGUCCCAUUCCGUAGCAUUUCUAAGUCAGCAUUUCUUACCUCAAAUUCUGCAUACAGAUGCACACUCUGUGAGCCUUCUGUCAAGCUUUGAGAAUUCUCUACAAAUCCAUUUCCCACAUUCCGGGCAGGGCUUUCAGUCCCAUCAGUGUCCAUUUAAAUCAAGCUUGUGUCAUAUUUCCAUCAGUCUCUCUGGCCUGGCACCCUGGGUCCCAGGGGACAGAGCUGUCUCAAGGUUCAGUCCCGUCUGUACUGAGUCCUGCCAGCGUUUCCAGCAGCAGCUGCUGGAGGCACCAAGGGCUGCCCUUGGAGCCUGGCUCUCCCCUGGGCUUUUACAGAGCGUUACCAACUCUGCCCUUCAGGAUCCAAUGGUUAUUUUGAACACUGAUCCUACAGCUGGAUAGUUCAGCUGGCAGGGAUUGGAGUCUGCUCUUGGGCCCAAAACAGGGUUUGUCCCACAAAGGUCGACUGAACUUCCUGAGAUGGCACACAGAUGAUGCCCUGGACUUUGGGGCCAAUAGCGUUGCCAGGUGAUUAUUGUAAGGUUGAACUGAUCUUAUGGUUGAGAGCUGCAUCUCCCCUGCUGCUGGCAGAGGAGGCAGAGCUGGGACAGGGCAGCUCCUCCAUUCCUUGGCUCCACCAAAUGCCUUUUUUCUUCCCGGGGCUGCUGCGGCCACGGGUUCCCUAAGUUACAGAUAAGAGUUGUGCUGACCUUGGAAUCUUGGAGGAAAGCUGGGCUGGAAUGUGGCAGGAGGUACUUCAUGUGGAAUGUGUUCCUGAGGGUGUUACAAGUGCCUGGCUUUUCUGUGGGAAGUUUUAUGGAGGAUAUUGUUACAAGAAAAGCCAUUGAGGUAAUGAAAAUCUGUGGAGAACGGGUGGUUGGUACACUAGGUGGGAAAUGCCAAAUCCCAGAGCAAUUCUGUGUCUGUAGCAUUAAGUGCAACAUCUUUAAAGCCAAGUGCUCAGUGUGGGCUUUUCACGUGGAUGCAAACGGUCCCAAAGCCGUUCCUGUGCCCCAAAAGCCAGAAGAAGCCUGCCAGAAGCAGCCUUCACUGCCUGUCUGGGAUUUCAGUUUGCUGCUGGAGCCUUCCCUCCAUCUUCCCUCGGGUUCUGACCCCGGAGCCACACAGGGCGUCUGUUGCCUUGGACAGGAGAAAUCAUUAAGCUCCUCCCAUCUUUGCCAGAAGCUUCAGUGUUUAAGCAGCCAGAGCCAAGAGGCUUCAGCACCAGGGGUGUGCACUGGAGGGCUCCUGGUCCUGCCCACGCUGUGGGGGAGCCAGGGCUGGCACAAGGACUCGUGCAGGUGCUGCUCUGGCACUGGAGCUGUUGCCCUGUGGAGCCAUUUUAAAGGUGUGAUUAUGGAACAUUUUGGAGGCUGUUUCUGGAAUUCCAUUUGUAGCUGGAUCUCGCUCCGAGUGCAGCAGUCCAGGUGAGGGUUCUGACCUCUCCAGACUUGUGCUCACCUUGGUACAGCCCGGGGCUGGAGCAGUUUUCCAGGGAAGUGGAGAUGGCUGAGGAUGGGUGCUCUGGAAAGCAGGGACCUGCUGGGAUUUGCAUUUGCAAAGCUGCC